CACUCCAAUCUGCAAUCAACCAGAUAAAACGCAAUGGUUGGAAGCCACUGGGCCAUUAGCUACAGGAGGGUUAUGGACUCGUUACCUGAAAUGGUGGUAAAAGUGGCAGCUCUCACCGGAGAUGUUUUCUCACCAUGCUAAGUGACAUCAUUAAUGGAGCCUCCAAUGAAGUGAUGUUAUUCUACGCUGCUUGGAAUUUAUACUGUCCACUCUGUUAUGCGCCCUUCAUGUUUCGAUUCGAGAUGCACCUUCAUUUUGCUUUGCUCAUCAAGACAUUCAACUGAAUAGUUGAGGAAUAAUACUCCUGUUUACUUUUAAAAGUCCUUGAUAAAGAUUCGAUGACAUACAGAUUCUAUGAUCCAAAAGAUGAAAAUUUUGAAAAGAUGUCGACAGUGAUUUCUCAUAUAACAAGGUGUAGAGCUGGAUGAACACAGCAGGCGAAGCAGCAUCAGAGGAGCAGGAAAGCUGACGUUUUGGGUCUGGACCCUUCUUCAGAAAUGAUUUCUCAAAACGUUCUGCCGCCAGCAGAGGGCGUGAUUCACAUAGAGUUGCACAAAGGGGUCUUCAGAUUGCAAGGACUGAGGAUCAAAAUAUCAUUUAAGAAGAAGCAAAGCAGAAAUUGGAAUGUGUACAGCUUAAAUAUGAGCAUGGGGUGGUUUGAGAGAGCUGUGCAUUGUGUGCCAUUCACUGGUCAUUUUAAGGACUGCUGAUAAACUAUGAGAUUGUAAGAACUGCCAAUGCUGGAGUCUGAGAUAACACAGAGUGGAGCUUGAGGAGCACAGCAGGCCAGGAAAGCUGUCGUUUCGGUUGUGUUUUUCCAUAUCUGGAAAAGAAAUUCAGCAGCAUUUCACCUACGGAGAGCAUAUUCGCAAUCAAAUUGUCCCUUUUUUUAAAGUGUCAUUCAUGUAGAUAUCUUUCAUCUAACAUGCGAUUAAUUGAUUUAUUAAUUUUGAUGAUUUUACUUCUAAAGGCAAGACAGUGACGAUGAAGAGAGUCAGUUCCAGUCUUGGACAGCAAUUUUCAAUAUUUCACUGCUCGGUGGUUUGGAACCUGAGCUGGUGCAACUCGAUAAAGUAGGAUGGAUUGAAUGGAAGAAAUUGUAGAUAUUUUUUGGAGUGAAGUUUGGGAAGUAUCAAUCUGGUCGAACAACAACUAAAGAAAGAAUGAUCAAAUCACAUCAGCAAUGAUUGGUGAAUUGGAGGCGGGUUAAAGAGAGGAAGGGAAUGGGAAACGAGAUGUACGAAACGAAAGAGCAUGGGUGAAAUGCAAUUAGCGGAUUGGCGAGAGGAGGAGUGAAGAGUCAACUUUAUGACAUGAAGGGAGAGGAACUGAAGUUAAGAAUUAUGGAUAGAGGCUCGGAACAGGAGACUGAGGGGUAAGGAAGAAGAAAUGGUUCUGUAAUUGAUGGGAAGAAAAUGGUUGUGGAAGGUAACCAGAAUUGUAGGCUUGUACCUUUAGUGAUCAGCGUCCAAAAGGCAAGUCUGCUUUAGAAUGUGUGCCAACGUCCAGCCAACAAUGUCAUGGGUGGUUAGGAAAAGCCUUCUCUAAAUUCAAUCCGAACAUUUCAUAGUUUAAAUAUACUUGCAUGUCGAUUUGAAACUUGAUGUUCAUGGAUCUGAUUUUUACCCCUUCUCUGCCUGACCACUUGUACAUCUCUGUAACAGUUAAAUCCCUGUGACAAAACUGCAGUUUUGCUGAUUAUGCAAAGGGAAAGCAUAAGAAAAUGUUAUGGGUUAUUUUUCAGUUGAAGAACAGAGUGUUCAAAAACAUCGAUCACUAUGAUAUUAAAGA